GACAAAUAUACGGCUGUGGUAAAUCCUAUAGCACUAAACUCAUUGAACUGUCAUUAAUUCAUCUGUCCAGAUUUCGUUUAACUCAUACUGAUCUUCCUGAUUCUCUCUCGCUUCCUCAUUUUUAGAACCCAGUCAGUAAACUGAUUUGAAGGCUGGUUUUAGAUACCAAACCCAUAGUUUUGAGGUUAGAAGGUGAAGAUGAAGAAGAAUGUUCUGAUGGUUCGGUAAAACCAUAUUUAUCAUAGAUUUGGCUUCAGAUCGACUCAGGAAUCAUCUCAGGAAGGAAUUGAUUAUGUCAAUGGAUUGUUGAAAUGUCGUUUGGCUAUUUAGAAAGAUAUGUGUUGUAGAGACGUGUUUCCUGGAGAACCUAAAUUGUCAGGCCUUGAAGAUUUCUAUGGUCUGUGGAAUUUGUUGUGCUGCAGUGUGGGCUAUAUUUGUUUAUGGAUUCGAAUUCUUUUUUGUUUACAUCAGUUCAGGAUUAAACUCUCAUUCAAUGAGAGGAAUUUGGUUUACUGUUAACUGGAAUUCCCAUUCGUUGUAUUCCAUUUCCAAUCGGAUUCCUAGCACGAUAGAGCACAUAGCAAACAGCGGAGAAGAGGUAGCAUAUUACAUGAUCUUAAUACAGUUGAUGGUCCUGGACCGUGUGAGAUUGAUGGUAUUGGUGGUGAUGAUGUUAUAGCUUGGAUAAUGAAGAUAGUUAUGAUUCGUCUUCUUAUCCUAGCGAGUCUUCUAGGAAACGGCUGAUAUAUCGAGUACUGAUGGCAAUUUGGAUUCAAAGUAUUUUAUUGUUUUUCAUUUUCAAUCAACGCUCUCUUUAAGAUUGUAAAGCUCAUGUCAAAUGAUUCAGCAUCUUUGGAGCUCCAAAUUUCUAUUUGCUGCCCUAUAAUAUUCUCAGAAUGGCUUCUAAGGUACGUGCCAAUUAUCAAAAGUGUAGAAUUUGUGCUUAUGUCAAUGUCAUACUUCUAGAUAUGUCCGUUAGUUCAAAAUUAGGGGUUGCUUUUAGGUCUCAAUGCUAAUCCAAUUGUAGCAUUACCAUAUCUCUUAUAGGAUUGUAUAUGGCAUGGUCAAUUCAUCUUGGCAUUAAGAUUAUGCACAAAUCACUUGGGGAUAUUCUGGAGAACCUCACACUGACUGAAGGCCGUAAUGGUUGUUAUUAAAUUAUUCUAAUCUUCCAUUUGGUUAAUUAUGAAAGGCUUCAUGAUAUAGACUGGAGGUCCUCUGGGAGACAGCGAUGGUGGGAGGUCUAUUUGGGGUGGGGAGUUUGAGGAUGAGUUCUAAAAAAGUUCUCUUAUUGCUGAUUUACAAUAGUCAGUUACAAAUUUAAUUUGGUUUACUUCUAGGGUCAUAUAAUUAUAAGCUUAUUAUGGCUAAGUUCUCUGUCAUUCCUCCCCGUCUAAGAUUGUUAUCAUUAUCUGUGCAUUCCAGCCUCAGGAUCUCAUUUGAUUGUUAUCAUUAUCUGUGCAUUCCAGCCUCAGGAUCUCAUUUGAUACAAAAAGCUUACAUACGAGGAAUGGUUACUUUUUUCUAAUUUGCGGUUAAAGGCAUGAUAUCCCUUUCACACUGUCCAUGGCUAAUUAAUGCGAGACAAAGUAUUAAUGCCGCUCAGUUCUUUAUAACAUUGUAGCAACACCAUGGCUUGAAUAAUAAACACUCUAUAUUCGAUAGAGUUAUGAAAGGAAUGGACGUGGUGCAGGGAAGAAAAGAGGGUGAAGAAAGGCAAGCAAGACAAAAGCUACCCAAAUGCUAAAUUAUUAAAUAUGACUAUUCCCAAGUUUUGUAUUUUCUUUCUGGAACAAGAAAUCAUGACAUUUUCACAUAUUAUCAUAAAAAUCUUUCAUGACUUCUCAA